CGGCGUGGUGUCGCAGGAAGCACCUUGGACUGCUCUGCCACACGCUCGCCGUGGUCUACUCUGCCUCGCGCUCAACGGGGACUACUCUGCCUCCAAACCAGCGUGCAGCCCCACAAGACUGGAUAAUGUGCUGAUGGUUUUGGCAUUUACUUUGUGAAGCAGCAUGGCAACGAGAAGGCUCCAGUUUGGUGAAGUAGGAGAGCAGGGAGAUGUUCCGGUGAGAAAAGAACAGGAAGUCAUUGUCGAAGAGGCAACAAGGUGCAAUCUAGGGAUGCAGCAGGAUGUAGCAGAGAAUCAAGGAAUACAGGGGGGUGUUUCAACAUGCAGGCCUAUUCUGCGUUCAUUUGCUGCGGACCUUCAUUCACAUACAAAUUGAUAAAAUACCUGCGAAAUACAUUUUCAAGAGGUACACCAAGUCAGCAAGGAGAGAUGUGGCAUUUAGCAGGGAAGACAAGAUUUUAACAGGAGACGAUGGAAACACAAAAAACUAUAGAACAAAAUUGCUACUGAAAAAGAGCACAAAAGUUGUCCAAGCAGGUAGCAUGUCGAAGGCGGCGUUUGAAAGAGCAAUUGAAGGGAUGGAUAGCGUGUUCAACGAAAUAAAGGACAUCCCGCAUGAUAUUGGGCCAAAAAAAAAACACGACAGGAAGAAAUACAACAGGACAGGAAACAUAUAGGCAAGGAGACAGUGACGAAGACAUGUGCGGGCACAAUGAAGGUACACAGGAAAUCGGGCAAACAAGUAAUGCAGUUGUCACGGAAAAUAAUCCAUGUCAUGACCACUUGAACAUGGCAUCAGGAGAGGUAAAUUGAAAUUGCAUGAACAUUGAAUGAAAUUGAAGUGCAUAUGAUAGCUGUAGGUGUGAAUUCUUAUAUGAAAAUGGAUAAAUGAGCAUCCAACUGCAGGCAGUG